GGGGUUGUGACUCAGUGGUAGAGAACUUGCCUAGCAUGUAUGAGGCACUGGGUUCAAUCCCUGGCACCACA
rnacentral:tRNA from 1 species